rnacentral:misc_RNA from 1 species
UCUCCGUAGGUGAACCCGCGGAGGGAUCAUUACAGAGUUCAUGCCCUACCGGGUAGAUCUCCCACCCUAUGUUAUUAUUACUUUGUUGCUUUGGCGGGCCGUUAGGCUCCGGCCCGACUACCGGCCCCGGCUGGUAAGCGCCCGCCAGAGGACCCAAAACCCUGUAUAUUAGUGUCGUCUGAGUACUAUAUAAUAGUUAAAACUUUCAACAACGGAUCUCUUGGUUCUG